rnacentral:sRNA from 1 species
GCUGGGCACAGUGGUGCAUGCCUGUCAUCCCAGCAGCUUAGGAGGCUGAGGCAGGAGGAUCAUAAAUUCAAAGCCAGCCUCAGCCCCUUAGCAAGGCCCUAAGCAACUCAGUGAGACCCUGUCUCUA